CAAUUUGUGGACUGAUUUGCGUUACGGGCAGAAGCUCAGUAACAGGAGAUUGCAACCACAGUAAAAAAGUGCUAAAACUAUUUCA
rfam:Sphingobacterium spiritivorum ATCC 33861 genomic scaffold SCAFFOLD4, whole genome shotgun sequence.